AACACGUGGGUAACCUGCCCAUAAGACUGGGAUAACUCCGGGAAACCGGGGCUAAUACCGGAUAACAUUUUGAACCGCAUGGUUCGAAAUUGAAAGGCGGCUUCGGCUGUCACUUAUGGAUGGACCCGCGUCGCAUUAGCUAGUUGGUGAGGUAACGGCUCACCAAGGCAACGAUGCGUAGCCGACCUGAGAGGGUGAUCGGCCACACUGGGACUGAGACACGGCCCAGACUCCUACGGGAGGCAGCAGUAGGGAAUCUUCCGCAAUGGACGAAAGUCUGACGGAGCAACGCCGCGUGAGUGAUGAAGGCUUUCGGGUCGUAAAACUCUGUUGUUAGGGAAGAACAAGUGCUAGUU
rnacentral:rRNA from 1 species